ACUCUUUUGUACACAAUGAAUUAAAAAAAUCAGAUAUUUUCACAAUUUAGUCAACUCCAAUUAUCUACACUUCUGGAAGGGAGGUGUGAUUUAGAUCAUGGAAACCAGAAGGUAAUUUAAACUUUUCACUUUGUUUUGGGAUAUUGUAUAUUAGGAUCGAGGGAGCCUCCCCACUUCAGAUCAGGCUGUCUGCCCCCAGCACCCCCGCCACCAACAGAUUUCCCUUCUGGUCUGUGCCUGCUUGGGCUGGUGUUGAAACAAGCCCAGAUUUGCUGAAAUGCUGCCCAUGGGCCUGAAUAUCUGGGGGAGCAGGAAUAUGAAUUGAAAAUGCCCGAGGGAAAUAAACCACACACAAACCCGAGACCUGGACCCCUUCUGGCAUCUCUAACCUCCUCAAGUGCUGGCCCUGGAAGAAUCCACAAAAUCAAAUUGACUGUAGCCUGCUCAUUGCUCUUUGGUCUUUCCCUGGGGUUCCUCUCCUACUGCCAAUCCACUUGCAUCCAGCUCCUCUUGAAUGACAGAUUAUGAUCAAGAAGGCUAUAUUUCAAAUAAGAAAAGGGGUGGGAGAUCGUUUCCCCGAAUGUAAGAUCUUGUUGGUGUUAAAAUUAGCAGUGAUAACUAUUACUGUUCCUCCAGUUCUUACUUUCUGCUUCUUCAGGCAAUUUUUAAAUUAGGGGUUCUGGUUCAGAAAACUGUCUGCUCAGGGGAAUUGAUCCUCAGAGCUGCCGUCUUAGAUCAGACAGCGGCCCAAAGGGUCCAAAUGCUCCACAGCUGGGUGGCAGGAGGAAGAGCGCGGGCUCUGGUUCGGUCGUGCUCUGUAAAGGCACACGGUUUACCUAGGCCUACGUAGAUGUGUGUAUUUAUACUUCCUAAGCUGCAUAUUUCAGGCUGUAAUUGCAUCCUGUGUCCCCACAAUAUUAUAGACAUGAAGGGAAAAUGAGGGCUUUGCACAUUCCCAGAGAUGUAAUUAUGGUAAUAGGCAAACCUCAUUUGCAGUGCUUGUCCCGUUAGUCAUUUCGCCCAGUUCUCCACUGCACACAGCUUGGGAGUGGAUGGGCUUGGCAGAGGGACUGUUUCCAAACUGGGGUUUCUUGGGUAACUUUUUAUUGCACUGUCAUAUUCAGGCAGGAAUGUGCGUAUGUCCUAAGUGUACACCUUGGUGAGUUUUCACAUGCUAAACUCCUCCAUGUUGCCUGUACUGAAACCAAUAAGUAGAACAUUCCCAUGCCCCAGAAGUCCCCUUCUGUUCCCUCCCACCAGGGACAGCCACCGUACUGACCUCUCAUGGCGCAGAUGUGCUUUGCCUGCUUUCUGCUUGAUGUGCCUGGAAUCCUGCAGUCCAUACUCUCUUGUGUCUCCUUUCUUUUGCUCUACUUAAGUUUGUGAGAGAGACCCAGCUCACUCUAUGCAGCUGUAGUUUGUUCAUUCUUAUUGCUGUGUAACAUUCCGUUGUGUGGGUACACCAACAUUGACUUUUCCAUGUUAUUGUUGAUGAACAUUUGAAUAACUUUCAGUUUUUGCCUUCUAUGAACAGUGCUGCCCUUGAUACUCUCAUGCAGGUCUUCUGGUGACCAUAUAUAUUCACAUUUCUGCUGGAAAUAUACCUAGGGGUGAAAUUGCUAGGUCAUGGCAUGUGUACUGCUUUGGUAGACCCUGCCAAGCAUAUACUAGAUAUUUCUAAAGAACUUUCUGGUUCUGGUAGGCUGGUUAAUAUCCUCACCAGAAAAUAGCAGGAAGGGGGUACCUUGUCAUUUUCAGACUGCAUGGUGUAGUGGGUUCUGGAAGGAGAUACACCUGGGUAUAUUCGCCCAAUGAGUAUGUCUCGAGUGCCCACUAUUCUAAAUGACACGAUGUGUUGGUUUCCUAUGGCUGCUGUAACAAAUUACCCCAAAUUUGGUGGCUUCAAACUACACAAAUGUAUUCUCUUACAGCUCUGGGGGUCAGAAGUCCAAAAUAGGAUUCACUGGCCUGAAACCAAGGUGCGCACAAGGCCACGUUCCUGCUGGAGCCUCCAGAGGAGAAUUCAUUGCCUUGCCUUUUCCAGCCUCUGGGGCUGCAUUCCUUGGCUCAUGGCUCCUUUUGCAUCUUCAAGGCCAAUGGCACAGCAUCUUUAAAUCUCUUUCCUCUGUCUUCACACUGCCUCCCUCUCAGUGUAGUAAAGUCUCCCUCUAUCCUCUGUAAGUGUCCCUCUUAAAAGAAUACUUGCAAUUGCAUUUAGGACCUACCAGAUAAUUUAGGGUAAUCUCCUCCAUCUCAAGGUCCUCAACUCAAUCACAUAUGCAAAGUCUCUUGCUCUAGAAGGUAAUGUAUAAGGGAUUAGGACAUGGGUGUCUUUGAGGACUAUUAUCUGGCCAACCACACAGGGAGGUAUUUUCUCUCCAUUUUCACCAUGUCAUCCUCAGAACCUACCUUCAUGAAACAUCAUAAAUGGCACCACAAGCUGCCCAGUUGUUUAGCUCCUCUCUGUGAUUCUUAUUACAUUGUGAGGGAAGGUUGAUGGAUGCAAUGGGGGACAUGUGCUUAAAGGAUAGAUGACUUAAGAUGUGUUUCAUCAAAUUGUCAUUUACUUUCAGCAGUAAUGAAUAAUCUGAAAUGAAUAGGAAGAAAAAUAUCAGUGCAGUGUGGGAUCUUGGAUUGGAUCCUGGAACAGCAAAAGGACAUUAGUGGAAAAACUGAUGAAUUCCAAAUAUAAGGCUACAGUUUGGUUAACAGUACAAUGUUAAUUUUGUUUCAAUAAUUGUACCAUGGUUACACAUAACAUGUUAACACAAGGGGAAGCUGGGUGCGGGAUAAACAGGAAUCUUUGGGUUAACUUUGCAAUUGUGCUAUAAAUCUAAAAUUGUUUUAAAAUAGAAAGUUAAAAAGAAUACAGGUACUCACUUAGGUACCAGAGAAAAAGCUCCAAAUACCUUAUGUCUGUGUGACAUGGGAGACAGGGUUCAGUGUUGGCAGAAUGAGUUUAGAUCUGAAAGUAAUGAUGAGGUUAAAAAAAAUACAGAACCAUUAAAGUGUAAAUGGAAACUGGGGAAUGUGAGACAAAUCAGAUGGUGUCGGUUAUCUCUAUGGGGAUGUAGGAACCAGUUCCAUCCAAGGUCUCCCAGGUGGGCUGGGCUGAGGGUGGUCUUUGGGCAUGAAUGGAGAGGGAGCCCUGCCCUCAGCCUUUCUGAUUGAUUCGUCAACUCCUCCCCAGCCCUCCUCCCCUCCCCUCCCCUCCACUGCCCUCUUCUCUUCCUGGCCCAUCCUGGGCUCAGUCUGUUAAGGGCUCCCCAGUGGCUGCCGGUUCGCAGCUGAGUCGUUAUCUUCUCGUCACACACUUAUCUGGGCAUGGUUAGAGCUCCAUAAUAAAAUUUGUCACUGACUUUAAUCCCAUCACUGUCCAGACCCGGUUGAUUAGUCCCUCUGGUUGUUUUGGCUUAGUUCUGUACCUCCAGCCUCUUCUAGGAAAUUGGUUGAGAUGGAAGUUCAGAGCACGCUCUUGGCCUUAUAAAAAGAGAACAGAGGCCGGGUGCAGUGGCUCACACCUGUAAUCCUAGCAGUUUGGGAGGCCAAGGCAGGUGGAUUGCCUGAGCUCAGAAGUUCGAGACCAGCCUGGGCAACACAGUGAAACCCCCGUCUCUACUAAAAUAUAAAAAAUUAGCCAGGCAUAGUGGUGGGCACCUGUAGUCCCAGCUACUCGGGAGGCUGAGGCAGGAGAAUCGCUUGACCUGGGAGAUGGAAAUUGCAGUGAGCUGAGAUUGUGCCACCACUGCACUCCAACCUGGGUGACAGAGUGAGACUCCAUCUCCAAAAAAAAAAAAAAAGAACAGAGGAGAUGCGAAGAGGGACCCCCAAACAUGUCCACCAGAAAUACAUAUAAAUGGUUUUGUCUCCCUCCUGCCCUCCCACCGGCGCCCUGUCAGGCCCAUCAGGGCCAGAGACAAGGGAGGGGCACCUUCUCUCGUCCAUCCUGUGAGCUGCAGAAGGCUGGCCUCACCUGCAUUCUCCUGACAACUUUGCAUGCCCCACAUCUUCCUCCCAGGCCUCCGGAGGUGGGCAGAGGUGUUGAUGGUCAGGUCUGGGCAGGGGAGGAGAGGGACUGAGACUGUAAGUCAGGUCACUGGGAGCCAGGCACCCACACCCUCAGACUGGCUGAGGACCAUCUGGGCCCCACUCCCCCGCCCCUCCGCUAGGCCACAUGGAGCAUCCUGGCAGGCUUCUCUGCUUGUAUCAUUCUUUUCACAGCUGCAUGCUUGAUGCACAAUUUCGAAGCCCAGAAAGAAAGGGUGUGUGUGGAGAAUGCAAACGGAGGAUUCUCCAAGGAGCAUUUUCACUCAGCAAACAUACUGCGCGGGCUCCCAACAGACAGGAAGACUGUGCUUGUGUGUGUCACCCAGGGUCUGCAUGCAGGCAUAUGUGUGAGUGAGUGCAUUGGGGUUUGGCAUGUCUCCAAGUGUCAAUUCGAGCGGCCCUCACUCUGCAUGUGUGUGUGUGUGUGUCAUAUACUUGGGCACACUUGAAUGUGGCCUGGCCCUCUCCUCCUUCUCAUGUUCUGCUUUGCUGCACACCUGAUACCUUCCUCUCUGUCAUUCCCUCUGCACCAUCCUGAGAGCCAGGCGCCCCUCCCCACCCCUGAAGUUGAACCUGUUCUCUGCAAAUACGUGUUUUGUCUCAGCUCCAUGGUUUUCCAUCCUUGGGCUGUCUGGGCUUCAUGCUUUAUUUUCAGGCACCUGCCAGGAGGGAGGCAAACACCGGAACAGCCACCGUGAUGACCACAGAUACCUGCCAGUGUGUGUGAGUGCAAACAGCGUCCAGGCGAGGCUGCAGGCUGACAGCCGGGGCUGCCUGUUUCCCAGACGUCUCCCCACCUCCUUAGUCAGGGUGGUACUUCUACAGCCUCAGGCCGCCACCCAGUGCAGGGAUACACAGAACCUGCUUCUCUUGGCCAGCAUUGGCCCCAUCGAGGAUGCUGAAGGAGCUGUGGGAAGGUGGACAGCCCACCGUAGGACAGGAAGAGAUCUGGAUGAGUUUGCUAAGGCUGCCAUAGCACAGUACCACAGACUGGGUGGCUCCCACAUUUAUUCCUUCGCUCUCCUGGUGGCUGGAUGCCCAAGAUCAAGGUAUAGGCAGGGCUGGUUUCUCCUCAGGCUUCUCUCUUUGGCUGUCUUCUCCUUGUGUCUUCACAUGGCCUUUCCUCUGUACCUACUGGUGUCCAAAUUUCCUCUUCUUAUAAGGACACCAGUCAGUUUGCAUUAAGGUCCACCCUAGUGAUCUCAUUUUAACUGAAUGACCUCUUUAAAGACCCUAUCUCCAAAUACAGUCACAUUCAGAGGUACUGGGGGUUGGGACUUCAACAUAUGAAUUUGUGGAAAGGCAGUGACAUGGUUGGGGGGGCGCACUUCAGCUCAGAACAACGUCCUUUCUAUGCCCUACUCUACUUGGCCUCCUUUUGUAGGGCCAUUUCCCAGGCAGCUUCUUGUUAAAGCCAAGAAAUGCCCCUCACAGAACCCAAGCCCCUUUUCUUGCAAGGGUGAUAAGUCAGCUUUUGGCUUUGUGGUUUGCAAAUUAACUGCAAAGAAAAUGGAGAGGUUUGUUGUUGUUGUUCUUAAGAAGGCAAUGCAGAAGCAGGAACAAGAACUUUGAGAUGAGGCUUAAGAGUCACGUGGCCUUGAUGAAAUGGCUUCACCCCUCUGAACAUGUUUUGUCUAUACGAUGGGGCUGUUGUGAAGAUUGGAUGAAAGAAGGCAUAUCAAAUGCUCAGGACAGUGCCCAACAUGGGUGCUCAAAGCUUACUUGCUUCCUUUACUUUCAUUGACAGCAUUGUUGCUGCUGCCAUUCCUGCACAGGAAAGUGUGGUGAUGACAGACACACUAAACCCAGUGGGCUGCUAGGCUGUUGCCCACACCAGAGAGCAGGGACAAGGGUGUGCUCAGCACGUGGUGCAAACCUCAUUCUGCUCUUUCAAAAUAAACCACACUCUGAUGUCCUUUCUGCUGACGGUGGGUCAAAGACUACAUCUCUGGAGAGAAAUGAUUAUUAUAGUCACUGAAAGUGAUAUGAGGUCUUGAAGGGGAAUUUGGAGUUUAAAACCACUCACUGGCUGGGCGCGGUGGCUCACGCCUAUAAUCCCAGCACUUUGGGAGGCCAAGGUGAGCAGGUCACAAAGUCAGGAGAUAGAGACCUUCCUGGCCAACAUGGUGAAACCCCAUCUCUACUAAAAAUACAAAAAUUAGCUGGGCAUGGUGGCACGUGCCUGUAAUCCCAGCUACUCGGGAGGCUGAGGCAGGAUAAUUGCUUGAACCAGGGAGUUGGAGGUUGCAGUGAGCUGAGAUCGCGCCACUGCUCUCCAGCCUGGUGACACUGAGACUGUCUGGAAGAAAAAAAAAAACAAAAACCCUCACUGUGGGCAAAGGAUGCAAUGGGAAACUGGAAUUCCUUUUCCUUCUGGGGACUGUUCUCAGACCUGAAGGUUAAUCGGGAUCACCUGGGGAGCUUGUUAAAACACACCUCUAAAGUUUCUGAGUCAAUAGAGCUAGGGUGGGAUCCAAAAAGGGGUAUUUCUCACAAGGGCUGAGUGAUGCAGCUGUAGCUAGUCCUAGGGUCAUAAUUGGAGAACCAUGGCCCUGCAGUCUGAGUCCCUGUGUGGGGUCUGUGUCACCUUUCUCUCCAGACUUGCCCGUCUUUGCUGCUCUCCCACCUGCCUGAUCUGACUUCUCUCUCUUCUUGGGAGAAGGGCAGGUUUGUUGACCUGCUUCCAUCCUCUCCCUAAUUGACAUAGGAUUUGCAUUUGUUCAUGGGCAACUGUUUUUUUGGCCCCUUAUCCUUCUCUCCUCCUUUUCCUCCACUUCUCUUGUCAUUUUGGGGCCUCUACAUAAUUCCCCAUGACCAAAAACUAGAACGUGGUGCGUGGCUCCCUAACUGUUGCCUGCAGUGACCCCAAUUAGGAGGAGGCAGAUGCAGAAGGAGCAUCUUUGCCACUGCCAUCCUCAUCUUCUGAACCCCCAGGUUCCCGCCUCUACCCCAACACAUAUCCAUUCCCUGGUCCCAAUUCCCUAAUCACUUUGCCAGAGUAAAUAAUUGGUGUGUGGUGACCCAAGGUCAUAGCCAAUGGAGGGAUGUAAUUAGGACCUGCAUUUCUGACCAUCUUGGGAGGUGUCUUGCAGCUGAUACAUUUCUCUGAGCCCUUGCACUGAUGCUCAUGUCCAACCCCAUCUCUCCCCUUUGAAGAUCAGAGAGCUUGGGUUGGAAGAGAGUUGCUCAUGAAGAGAUGGCCAUAUUGCCUUUCUUUGCAUCUCUCCCCACAGAAGUGAGAGGGUAGAGUAUCAGGCCCCCAGGGAGCUGGGAGCUGGACCCUGACACCUUUCAGACCAUAUCUUGCAGUGUGUGAGGGCUCACUAAUGAGCCUUGCAGGGAGAGAUGCGAGACUAGAAACACUGUGUGCCAUGUUUUUUUGGAUUUCCCAAGAUGUCAUGGCCACCAUCGCUUUCCUUGUGUUGGACAUAUUACUUCUUCUUUUCCUGGCCUUCUGAGCCCUGCUAACAUGUACUUGGUAGAGAUGGGCAUGCCACAGGCUCCCUGGGUCUGAAGUGACUUGGCAUGCUUCCUGAUGGGUGGGACGCUAAUGUGGGAGGCAGAAGCCUGGCCUUUUAUUCCUGUCUCUUCCAUCUCUCCAUGCUGGAACGAUUUCUCUUUCUAUUAAAUGCAUGGUGCUGGGAUGCCUUGCUGGGGGAGAUGAUGACCGAUAAAGGUUUUUGAUUUCCUUUGGAAUUAUCCUCCUGGCCAAAGCAGGGGAGGAAAACAUCUUCUUUCUCUACUCUGACUCCCAUGGCUAAGCCAGACUUGAGACAAAAAUAAAACCAAAAGAAAAGGGCAAGAAACUCUUGUGUGUCCUUCCAGCAUCCCUUUUUGGAAUAAGAGAGGACUCUUGGGGAAGGAAGUGGGCAGGGAGUGUGAUGUAAUAUUUUGGUGUCUGAUACUUUGAGCCUCCUUUUGGGAAGAACUUCCAGACAGCCUGAAGGGAGCAGAAGUUUUAUUGAUUGAAGAAAGAUGGGAAUCGUUGGCUGUCAGGGCCAGGAGGGCCCUGCCUACCAAUGAACUUGCCCUUCCCACACAGCCCCAUCCCAUCCCUGUGCCAAUCACUCCUGGGCCACUGGGGUAGCUUAGGAGUGUGAGCUUGGUCUCUUCCAGGGGCCGGCACUGCCUUCUCUUUUUGGAGUCUCAUGGGAGUCCGUGGACCAAGUUCUUGCUUCCUUCUAGAAAGACUCUCUACAUGCAGGGAUAUUUCAAUGACAGCUCAGCUCACUGCCCUUUACCCACUGGGCCCAUCAGGCAGGGCUGACAACAGAGUACAGGAGACCUCACAAAGGAAAUAGCCUUUCCUUGCUGGACAUCAGUGCAGGCAAGCCCUUACUGAAAUUUUGAUUUGGGACCAGGCUUCUGUCUAACUGUAUUUUCCCAACUUCCCGAGUACCAGGCCCAUCUGCCCUUGUGGACGUGCUUCCUCAAAUACCCCCUAAGCUGCUCAGCACAUUGGCUCUUGGUGGUGAAGGGGAUACUGAUGUGAAGUCAGCAGCCACUGCUGCCUCUAACCCUUUUCCCGUGAUAACCUCAAGAAGCCUCAGGGCAAGGAUGCAGCAAAGAGGAGGCCCAGGGUGCAGACAUCAGCCAGAAGGACUGGAAUAUAACCCAGCCGCUCCUUAAGAUGAGAUGCUUAUGAUGGGAAGACUUCUGGACCAGCGUGGAUGAGGCCUCAGCUGUGAAGGGUGGGCCCUGAGUCCCUCGUGGUCUAGACUUACCACACCUGGCCUCACGCUCCUUCCUUAGACACGGUCUUCCAUAAGGCAUAGCAGUCAAGUGCCAUUUUCACAAAAGUGGCUGGGGGUUAGUGAGUAACUAGGACUUCUGGGUUUGUAUAAUCUACACCUUGAAGGUGUGGCUACAGAAGAGAGGGUGACCUGGAAUUAUUCUCUGGCUUGAAUCAUCUUUCUGGGCUCCUUAGCCUUGGGUCAAAGAUUCCACCCCUGCAGAGGACCUUGAGCCAUAAAACAAGAGGACUAGGGACUGACUCAUCCAUGUGGGCCUCCUGGGCCUCCGACUUGCUCAGGGAGCUCCAGGCCAUAGUGGGACAGAGUGCUCCCUCAUGGACAUACAGAAAUACUCCAGAAUCUCAGAGAGAAAGAGGGCUGAAGAGGCCCACUAAGGGGGCUAGGAGUCCUGGGGACACAGCUGCCUCCCUGGCCAUUGUUCCUAUAGCAGGCUGAGCAGGUUCCUCUGCUCCAAGAAUUCUGGAGUGAUGCCACCCUUGACUUUAGUUGAGGGCAGGGUCCUGGCCUUUCCAGCCUUCCCAGUCCACCCUUCUCAGUAGCUGAGUGACCAAGGAGUUGGAGAGGAGGAGUGAAAUGAACAUGAUCACUGGCUGCUGAUAGAACAGUAAUGAGAUUAAUGGUUCUUAGAGCUUUCUCAUUAACAGUGGAAACGGUGUGUCAGAGGCAUUUACAGUAUUGGUUCUCAAGACAUCACUCCAGUACACACAGAGCUAAUCACGUGUCCCGCCUACCUCUGAGCAAAGACCUACCUGCUUCCUUGGAGCAGCACUCCCUCCCAUUUUGAAACUUCAUGUAUGAGGUUUCAUACCUCCUUCAUAGCUGAGGAAGAGUAGAGGCCAGGGUUUUGAUGUGGUUGCUUCUGAGAUCCACAAACACAGCACUAUGUGGCUGCAUUAAAUUCUAGAAAGAGCCACAGCCUCCUGGACCUACAUCCCAAUCCCAUCUCUCCUAGUAACUUCUGUGCGAGCCUGAGCAAGUUGCAUGGCCUCUGUGGAUAUCAGUGUGCUCACCUGUAUGUGGAGGUGUCCCGUAGAGCAGUCAUCUUCCUUCCUGGAGGACAGAGGGGACUCGAGAAAUGAAAAACAGGAGCUGGUGUCCAGGAAGGAAAUGGACAGUGUGACUGGGAGAGGCAUUUCAUCAGAGGCCAUUAGCCCAGGGCCCCCAGGGGGACUGUCACAGCCGCUGAGCUCUGUAAGUUUGUCUGUAAAACAAUGGAUGCGUGAGCAUUUUCCAAAAUAUUUGAGAAGAUUCUCAGAGAGGUCUUGGUUCCCCCAAGGCAAACACCCAUUGCCAAAUUAGGGUGGAAGUAGUCUGGACUUCUGCCACUAGGUUGGGGAGGAUGGGCCUCUCUGUUGAGGCAGUGCCCCAGCCCAGCAAACCUGGGCUUUUGUACAGGGCACUGAAGGUGCUUUGCCUCUGGUUCUGGAUGAAGCUGUCAGGAAAGAGAGAAGCAUGACCAAUGGUGGCAGUCAUGUGUGACAGUGGCAGUCAUGUGUGACAGAGGAUGCAGAAAAGGACAGGUUUCCAAAUAAGGUACCUCUGCCUCCUCACCCCUUUAUGGGAGUAGAGCUGGUGCCAUGUGACCAGGAUCUGUCCGUUCAUCUCUUUGGGCAUGGUUUCCCUGAAAUGGAUCAUCUGCAGUGGGAAACACUGAUUGAGUUGGGGGUUUGGAGAACAUGGUUCCUCCUGCCUUCUGAGUCCACUUCUGAAUGUGGACAUGGUGGCACCAGCUUCAUUGUCUUGACCUGACUAGGCUUUGGAUUGUUUUAAUUUGGGUUGUUCAAGGUGCACAGUUGAAUGUAGUCAGGGGCCAAGUUACCAGCUUGCUAAGAACCAAAAGCCCAAAGCACAUGGAUCUGAGUAAGAGGCCAGGAGAACUGUGGAGAAAGAAGCAAAGCCAUCCAACUGGACAAUACAGGAAUGAGUAGAGCCAGGGGUGUGAGCUCAAGAUAACUUAUAAAGUCAUGUGUAUGCCUAAUCAGUGUCUAUUGGUCUAGCCAGCCAGCCAACCAGCUAAUUUUUACCUCUUAGAAAAGGGAUUUGAAAAGUCUUGACAUCUGAUCAUAAACCAGUAGUUUGCCACCAAUCCAAUUCAAUUCAAAGUGAUUCAAUUAAUAAACCAAAAUUUUAUUCAUUACCUGUUGUAACAUUAAUAUCUUACCAGGUACAACCAUGGUUAUAUAAGAAAUGAAAGGUACAAUCCCUGAUUUUGAUGAGCUCUACAGUUAGCUGUUGUCUUGUAUAGAUAUUUCUACAUAAGAAAUCUCUAGAGACAACUAGAACUGGGCUGUGUAUAAAUGUGCAUAUAGAAUUCAGUCUAUAGUUCAGAGCCCUUUGUUGGUUCUUCCUUCUCUGACUCAUGGCUUCUGAGAAAUGAUAGGAUCCAAAGUUCUGUCUCUAGUUUUCUCCACUUUAGGUCUGAGAACAUGAAACAAUAACUGCUUUCCUUAGAGAAGAAAUAACAUAUAGCUGCAGAGGGAAUAAGAUGUUUCCUAGUUAGGAAGGAAGGAAAGGUGAUUGUUUAGAGUUUGCUUUUCCGAGGAUACUAAAGAAUGUGGUUUCCCUGACUUGCCUCCACCUCGUCCUCCUCACCCCACCCUUUCUAUGCCUCUCCCUCUUUCUAUGUUGACCACAUGACUGGGCACCCUCUUCAUGAAACUCUUGGCUCUGCAGAAAAAAAGGAGCCCUAAUUUAUAGCAGAUGCUAAUUUCUAUGGUGUAAAUACUUCUACCCUGGUGUUCGCAAACUACCAAUAGUUUAACAACUGGAUCACAAACUUCCUAAAAAUGUAACAACCAGCUAUUGUGAGCUGGCAAUGGCCACUCUAGUGUACCUCUGUGAGUUGUCUUCUCCUUGUGGAGCUGGUCACCACUCACCACUUCACAGGACACUGGGCCUAUUCCUUAUUGAGAAAAUGGAAGCUUCCAUAAAAAACCAACUUGGACACCCACUGCGUGUUUGGGUGAUUGCCAGAUGAAUACAGGAAGAAGGAGAGUGCAGCCUGGAGUAUGCAGGGAGAUGUGUGGCUUUCCAGGGACAGAGUCUCCAGGCUGACACCUGACCCAGCAGGUGAGUUUGACAAGUUGCCAGCCUCUGAGGUCUCAUAUGUGGAUUGGAAGAAAACCUAGAAGUCACCCAUCAUUUUCUGGGAACUGGAGAAGUCUGUGAGGAGCGGGGUUGGGGGUUGUCCCUAAGCCAGAAACCUCUAAUUUAGAGAAUAUUAGUACAAUUGUUCUUUCUAUCCCAACAAUUUGCUGAGAAAUUGUUGGAAGCUGCUGGUACCUACUGGCUGGCUGCUGACCCUGGCCUUUGCCUCACAGGGGUUAUCCUUGGACUACAAAUCUUACAGCUUUGUAGGGGAAGAGAGAAGAGAGGAAGCGGGUACUCCAAUGUGUAGGAAGGGGAAGGGAGAUGGGCUCAGUGGACGUGCUGUGGAUGGUCACACUCACACGCUGGCUACAGCCUGUCAUGCGUCUCAUGGGUGCUCACAGGCUCACCAACACAAAGACAAGUGUCGCCGAACACAGGUGGCCCCAGCAAACAUCCACAGACAACCCCCCGGAUGUCCGCCUGUAUCUCUGACUCCUUCCUUUCACUUUCCACUUUCUUCAACACUCCUCAUUGUUCUUUCUCACCUCCCCUGCGAGCCUCACCCCUCCUUUGCCCUCUGUUCUCUUUGUAGGAGAUUGGGGUGGUCGGAGGAUGGUGGUGGUCCUCCAGGCUGCUUGGGAGCCCCAUGGCUGGAGGCCAUUUCUGGGUCUGCAGGCUCCAUCCACGGGGCCGAUUAGAACAGGCUGCAGUCUGAGCAACUGUAUUAAGUAGUGGUUGUCAUGGAAACAGGGCCCUUGAUGUUGUCUAGAUUCCAGAAUCUCUCCCCCCUCCCCACCUUGGUUAUUUUCUUUCCUCCCUUGUUUUUUCCCCUGGGGCUAUGGGUACAUGUUCAGUAGGAGUUUGUGGACCCGCAGCUGACACUGAAGACUGCAGAUCUCAGCCGGCUCCAUGAUGCCACCAUUCUAAAUGGGUCUGUGUGGCCAGGAAGCCCAAGGCGAGGCAAACAUACUUCCUGCUCGAGUCCUAGAGAUAUAGGCUGAUGUGUCCAGAUGCCAGAAGCGCAGACUGACGCCCCAACAAGUGUCCUUUAUGCAUAAAGAAGGGCUGGGGAGAGAUGGAACAGACUGGGAACUUGGAUCUCAGCCCUGUCUCUUCCCAGGGUGGCCCCAGAGCAGAGACCUGGAAAGAGGUGUUGAGCCUCUGGACUUGGGUUCCUCAUCCUGGGUGAAAAAUUAGAGUGGGGACUUUGGUAAAUCCCUGACAAGGCUAGUGUUUCAUCCACACAAGAGACUAAUCCUCUAACUCUCUACAUCUGUACCUGUCAAGGCUGUGCCAGCUUAUGCAGCUGAAGGUGGUCAGAGCAAAGUGGAGCUCACUGUUCCACACUUAGGAUAACAUCAUUCAUGGGCUGUGUGCCUUGGUGUCCCCAAAUGAGGCAAGAUGGGGUUCAUGUUCUUUCAUCUGACUACGUUUCAUCCCAAAGAUGUUAUGUGGCUAAAAAGAGAUAGCAGAUGGCAAGCUCCUUGGAAAGAAGCAAGUAUUAUACAAAGAAAGCAAUAGUUGUAGUCAGGAAUCUACUUUAAGAUAGACUUGAAACAGCAUGACUUAAGAAAAGCCACAGACUGGUUUGUGUCUUGAGGGAAUCUGAACUUCUAAGUCUGAAUUUUGCUAAACAUCGGGGAGAGACAGGAUAGCAUGCACAGAGUGUUCACCUACCUCUCUGCCCUCCUUGCCUCCCACCCUGGGCAGCUGGGACAGGCAUGGCAGAGAUGCCAACCAAGAUGGAUAAGGUGAGCUGGGCCCCAGGGACAGCAAUGUGGGUACACUAUGGUGGCCAGAAAACCAUGGAACCAGGAGCUGGGUGCACACUGUGGCCAAAAGAGAGCUUGGAAAGCCAGCACCGGAGUGCCAAAUCUGAUGCCAGUGAGGGCACUGGGGAGAGAGAAGGAGAGACAAAAGCAAAGUGUCAGAAACUGAGGAAAUAGGAACGGAAAGGAAGGGCAACCAAAGGCGGGAAGCGUCCUUGGAGUCAGGCAAGGCUGCGCAGUGGUGGGCAGACCAGCCUGGUUUCAAGACCCAGCUUGGAAUAGUUGCAUAGUAAUGGCACCUAGUAGGUGCUGAACAUGCUUUCAUUGAUGGGCUGACACUGGUUCAUCCAUCUCUAGGGACUGGGAUCAUCAACUUUUCCUUCUGUGAAUCCUUAGCCUGGUAGCAUGUCAGGCACUUUUGUUUCUAAUUUCCCUCCUCUGCCUACUCAACUGAAUGGAAUGAGGGUAUGGAGGGAAUUUUCCAAUAUGGUGAUUCUUUCUAGAAUCCGAAGAGGUGCCAGAUGAGGUUAGGAAGUCAGGGCGGACCUGAGUCCUUUUAUCUCCUUGCUCAGGAGGUCGCGGAUAUCACAGGUAUCACAGGUCAGGUCUUCUGUUUGGGGCCUCUCCUUCUAAGGGGUAAAUUGUGCAGCUCUCUAAGUAGGAAAUGAUAAAAGAUAAGAUGGUGUCCAGCUGGUUCUCUUUUCUGAGAACAGAGAGAAAGCUUCAUGCACAAGCCAGCUACUCUCUUCCUUUCAGUGGUGUUUCUGCUGUCUCCAAAGGGAAAUGAAUACUGAGCACAAACCUCAGAAAGACGCCCUAUCUUAGAACAGUUCUGCUGUGGCCGUGGCCACAUGUUUUCUCUUGCAGUUGUGUUUCAUUGAGUGUCUUUUUACCUCCAGCCGCCUGUGUUUGGCACUAAUGAGCAAGGGUGGCACUGAAGCCUUUGCUGGGUAUGUAGGGUAGAAGGCUUCCUGUCCACUUCAGGGACCCCCAAAGCAUGUUUUUGGUAUUGCUUUGUUACUGUGACAAAAGGUGACAUCAAACCAGUGGCUGUAGGAAAAGGUAACAUCACAGAGUUGUCCGAAGCGGUGAGUGAUCUCAGAGUCAAAAAUAUUGAUUUUUCCCCCCAAGUUUUACUGUAGUAAAGGAACAUUUAUAGAAUUUAGGAAAUUAAAUAUGGCUCCUAAGUUUUCCAACGCAGUCAAGUGCUUUAGUCUAGUCAUUUUUGUUGGCCCUGUUGCCCAUUUGGUGUGUGUAUCAACCGGAACUAGACAGAAACCUCCUAUGUGUAAGAGCCACUGUAAUGCACAAUGUAAGUAUAAUGAGAAACACUUACAGUGGUGGGGUGGUAAUGCAUACAAGAGACAUGAUAGCUCCAACAAUGUACUGUACUUGUUUGCAGAGAUGCUGCGGGAAAAAAAUGCUAAAAGGGACUCGAAAGGCCUAGGAGUUUAGGCAAUGUCAUUUCUAGUGGUGUGUUUCUGGAAAGAUCCUUUACUUUUGGGGGCUUUGUCUAUACGAUAAAUGAACCUACUUUAGAGGGAUGUUGUAAAAAUUAGAUGAGAUUUUUUUCACUUUUAUUCAAAAGUGAACGCACUAUCCAAAUGCAAACUGCUUUUAACAAUACUGUUUUCUUAAGAGACGUUCCCACAGCCUCCUUCUUACCCAUUCCCUCAGUUUUUCCAUCUGUGAAAUAGUCCUUCCCCACACCCCAUCAACAAGCAGACCUCCUCCCCUUCUCUCCCUCACGUUAGUGAAGGAAGAAUAAUAGAUGUGAAAAUCUUUGAGUUCCUUGGAACCAAGGAGUGGGAUAAAUACCCUAUAUUGAUUAUGAUGAUUAUAUCUGGGACUAGAAAAAUAUGAUUGCCUGGUUGCCAGUAGCAACCAGAUGGCAAUGCAGGAGUAGGAACUUGAGCUGUGUUGUGUGGAGAGCUUCCCUGAGCACAGAAACACAUUUAUUUUCUUCUUUUUCUCAAAUCCCCAUUCCUGCUUUCUUGGACUGGCAUUCUUGCUUUUGGGAGACUGGUCACUCAUAAAUGGGAUUCGAAGGGAGUUGCAGAGAGGACUAACUAAAGGCUUCUUAGGGAAUGCCACGAGUGACUGGUGAGUCGUCCGUCACCAGUUCUGGUACCCCGUUAGUUGCAGGGAUGGGAUACCCAGCUUCUUGGAGUGAGGAGGGUGGGCUGUAAUUGGACCAGGGAAGAGAAGAGACUACUAUUGUGGAGAAACACAGAACCUCCACGCAAAGGAAGACAGAGGAGCCAUCUAAAAAGGUGUGGGGGAGAGCUCAUGACAGAGGCCACCAGUAGGCAGUAUGAGGAGGCUCUGAGCCUGGUUAAAACCACUUCCACCUAAGCAGAAACCAAGGUCUCAGGCAGGCAUUGAUUAUGAGAGGCGAGGUCCUAUCCUCGUCUCAGGUGUGAGCAACCGUGUCUCCAAAUUCCAGAUUCCUCUGUAGCACUGGGCUACGGUCUGUGCUGAACACACAUUAUCUCACGUACCCUUAUUUAACCAAUGUCCUUAUUUACGUAGUCACAUGGCCAGGGAGCGCUGAGGCCAAGACCAGAGCUCAUGGCUGCCUGGAUGCAGGGCCUGUGCUCUCUCUGCCAAGAUGCUGAUCAUGUUCCUAGCAGGUCAGAGGCCUAAAUCGUGAGCAUGAGGGUUCCCAAAAGUGAGCCCUCUUGCAGGUCAGAUGUCUUGCAGGUCAGAGGUCUUGGCUUGAAUGCUGUGACACUCCUGUGUUCUAAGAAAGAAGGCAUUUAACUUCUGAGUCACGUCUUCCCCCUCCCUUCCUCCUUCCCUCUCACAGUGUUGGGGCUAUGAGUUUUCUGUUGAGCACAUUGACUUGCCUGACAAAGGUCCCCACAUGGGACUGCACAUUUCUGGUUGUUGGUUUUCACUAGCUGGCUGAGGAGUGACGAGGAGGGUGUAUGUCAGCUUCCUGAGGAUGUGGUGUGUGCCUUACCACCCAGGAUUGGGAGGGGGAGAGGGGAGGUGGGGAGUGAUUGUGGACUGUGGUCAGCUACCCUUCCACCUCUCUGGCAAAAACAAGCUUCUCUGGCCUGACUGGGACUCCUGGCCAAUGGACAGAAUUUGACCAAGAUUAGCAAAUUUCUAUUGAGAAUCUGCUCCAUGCAGGGCACGAGGGUAAGCACUUCACAUGUUUAACCACAUCUCAGCUUCACAUGGACCCUGUGAGAUGAUGACUCCAUUUUAUUGCCUCGGUUUUACAGAUGGGGAAACUGGGUUCCAGAAAGGACUGAUCAUUUACAGGGAGUAAGUGCUGGAGUUGGACUUGAGCCCAGUUUAUCUGAUUCCCGGGUCUACACUCAUAACCACGAAUCACUUUACAAGUCCCACCUCCUCCCACUGGCCCACAGCCACUCUUCCGCUUCACCCAGCGGUGUGGCCGAGGCUGCUGCUCCUGUCCUAGUUUAGGGUUUCUUUAAAGAGACUCCUUGCUUAUCCAGUCCUUAUGUACUCUGCCACCAUGUUCACUUUCCUAAUCUCAUUGCCACCCAACCAUCUUUGCUCAGAAGAUUCAAUGCCUCCCACCACCUACGGAUGUUUAAACUCUUUUGCCUGACUUUCUUGGCCCUCAACAAUCUAGAAACAGCUUAACUCUGGGUUGUUAGCACUCAAGCUAUUACUCCUCAAGAGGCAUGAAGACUGCAACCUCAGCUAUGCAUGUUCUUAUAGACACCAUCAUGCCUUGCUAGUUGUUCUUUCUGGCUGGAAUUUUUCUCUCCUCUUUCUCUGUGCCCCAACUGUGCAUACCCUAAUCUGACUCAUCUUGUCAGGCUUAGCUCAACUGCCCCCUCUGUCAUUGGCCCUUUCUUGGCUUCCUCAGCUGGACCUAAUUCUCCCUCCUCUCUGCUUGCAUAGGAUUUGAUCUGCCUUGUGCUACUUAACCAUUUCCAUCUUGCACAUUGAUUUACUAAUUCACUCAGCAUUUCCUGAGCUUCUCCUGUGUGCCUCAUGCGGUGCUGGGUGCUGGGUGCAGAAGAGGAGUAAUGUCCCUGCUGUCAGGGUACUAACCGCAAAGAGACUUGGUGUCUGUAUGUGUCUGAUACCCUGUGCCUGAUUUUCCUCUGGCAUGAUGCCAGAAUAGGCAUUCACUCAAUAUGCUGGUUUUGAAUGAAUGAAGAUACUUGGUACUCCCUGUUGCUAAACGGAGAGGCAGUAGGAGAAGACAGUGGUAAGUUAGGUUGUGCUGCAUAGAAACUCAGGAUGUUGGUCUCUUAUUACCUUAUAUGCCACAAAUACCCUCUGCAUAGAGAGGGGCAGAUUGAGACACAAUUCCUCUUCCAUAUUCUUCUGGGGAGGGAUUGUUUGCCCAUCUAGGGAAAGCUGUCAUCCAGCUGCCCACCCUGCUCCUGGGGACUGGGUUCUCACAGACAUCAGAGGUGUCUUGAGUAAACCUCGUAGGAUGAUUUCCUGAGGGUUUGGAUAGUUGGUAAUAGCCUGGCCUACCACGGCAAUGUGACCUAGAAAAGACUGACCAUCAAGCCUUGUUCUAAAUACCAUGCUGGGUUUAUGGAGUCAAGGAAUGGUUAAACUCUGGGUGUGGAAUAAUCAGAGAAGCACAAAGUCUUCUAGCAACAUCCUAGAGCAACAGUUGGCAAACUCCAACCCAUGGACUCGAUCUUGUUUGCCACUUGUUUUUAUAGCUCACAAGUGAAGAAUGAUUUUUAUGUUUUGAAAUGGUUGAAAAAAAUCAAAAGAACAAUAUAUCAUGGCAUGUGAAAAUAAUAUGAAAUUCAAGUUACAGUGUCUGCAAAUACAGUUUUGCUAGAACACAGCCAUGCUUACCUGUUUAUAUAUUGUCUGUGCCUGCUUUCAUGGUGUGAUGGCAAAGUUGAGUUGUUGCUACAGAGAUUGCAUGGCCCAUAAAACUUAAACUAUUUCUUAUCUGACCCUUCCUGGGAAAAGUUUGCCCAUCUUUACUCUAGAGGGCAAAGUUCUUCCUAUACCCAUCCAUUUUGGUCAAGAAGGUAGAAUUUCCCAGCUGUCCAGUGGGUGGGACCAGUGAAUUGUAACCCAGGGACCAAAGACAGAAGUUAAGGAGCCUGCACAUGGACAAAGUGUUGGCCUGGGGCUUGGAGUCCUGAGUUCUGUUGGCUUGGGGCAAGACCUUUUCUCUCUUGGUCUUUCUCAUCUUGACAAUGAGAAGUUUGGGCUGCAUGAUCUUGAAGGGGGACGUGGUUCUGUAGUCUACAUGGCUAUUCCACAGAGGGGUCUGCAUUGCAUGAGGACUUUCUGAGCCGUCCUUUGAGGCCCUGAGCUGGAGGCAGCCCCCAGCUGACCAGCAGGCAGACAUAGGAGUGCCUUUGUCCUUCCCACUCUCCUUCAGGGUCUAAGCCCUUGCACCCCGAAAGCUUUCCAGAAGUACCAUCUUUUCCUCACAUUGGUCCCUGUUUGGACUCAGUUCAGCCUUUUUCUUUUCCCCUGAAGUGCCUGAGAUCUAGGAGAACUGUAAUUAUGUAAUUCUUCCUCGUUAUCUUUUCUAAUUGUUCUCAGAGCUGUUUCCUAAACUGAUUGGAAACAAUUGCAGACAGGGAAUGGAGUGGGAGGUAGGCGAGGACCUGGCGGCUGGCCAGAGCUUGGCCGUCUGAUGGAGGCAGUGUCUUGGCAGUGGUCUCAAGGACCGGGACAGAGGGGACCACCGGGAGCCAGGCUGCCCCAUAUGGUUCCUGUGUCUGAGUAGCAGGGGUAGCAAGAAGGAAACACUCACUGAGGUGUUGGAAGCUUCGGUUUAAUCACCCCAAAAUAAUAAAUCUCCCGCCUGCUCUCGGGCCCUAGAGACCCAGCUGUUUUCCCUUUCUCUGCUGACGCUGGUAGAGCUCCCUGGGGAUUGCACCAGGCGCCAACAGGGAUCAAGGUCCUCGCCUCCUGGCAUCGGAUUGUUUGUGCUUUCUUAACAGAACAAAAAUUGCAACUCUUGAGCCAUCCAUCACCCCCAGAAAGCUAGGGAGAGCCAGAUGGGGAGAGCAUAGGGACUUCCCACUGAUUUCAGCCUGAGUGGGUAGAAUGGGGUCCCUGCUAUGAGAUCUUUGGGAAAGCAUCAAAGGUGCUGGCUCUUUGGGCCAGAGCCCCAGGAAAGGGACCCUCCUGGGACGUCCCCGCUAUUAGGAAUUUGUCCCUUCACUGCAUGGUUCUCUGCUGGGGGCAGGCAGAAGGCAGCUCAUGCAGGGCACUUGGGGUACAUGGGGCCUCCCAUGUCACCUGGAGGCUUUCCUGCAGUGUCCCUUGGUUUCCCUGUCUGUGCCGAUGUCCUCCCCUCCCCCAUGCCUCGUCUCACCUGCUUUGCAGAAGCAUAUGGGUUUUCUAGCAAGGGCAGAGGAGAGGGGAUGUGGAGGGGAUGCCCACCUUGCCUGUUAUGCACAGGUUCUCCCUGCAUGUCCACACCAUCUCUUUAACAUUCCCAACAACCCCCUGAGGCGGGGAGAUGGUCACUUCCAUUUUCCUUUUGCAAAAACAUUUGCAAAGGAAGGAUCACAUUGGAUUCUGCAAGCAUGUAUGAAGCACAUAGUGCAUGAUGGGUUCUAGAGAAGGCAUCGGGCAGAAGAAUAGGGUAAGUCAGAGCCCCUUCCCAAGAACCAGACUCUCCAAGAUCACAGGGACAGUCAGACCAUGACUUGCUGGUGUGCAAAGCCCAGCGGGUCUGACCCCAGAGCUCUUUCCACCAGCCCCUGAAGCUGCCAGUAAAGAUGGAUACUUGUUAGGCUGAAAGCUGUACUACUCGCUUAGAGGAGCUAGCCCAGGUUCAAUUCUUUUAGGGGUGGAGGUGAGGGCCCCCACAAGUGUCACCCAUGAGUUUAUGACUGUGUGGGUGGGGGCCUGUCCAUUCUGCUGUGUAGUUAUUUCUCUUCCCUCUUUCCCAGCCUCUGGAACCAGAGAGGGGAGGAAAAAAGGAAGAGUGUGAGGGGCUUUGAUGGGGCGCUGUGGACCCUAGUCUUCUACUUGGAGCACCCCAGCUCCCCUGGCUGUUUUUAAGGUCAUGAAUCCUUCCAGCCCUGCACUCCAAUCCUGCCCUCAGUCAACCUCCUGGAGCUCAGACGUCCAGUGCGCCAUUUCUCUGAAGGCUUUGAGGUCUGGGGUGAGGAGCAGGAAGAGGCCCCAAGGUCUUUUGUCUCCCAGAAGCUCUUCCCUCUGCCCUGGCAGAAGAGACAGCAUUGCAGUGUCUUACCCAGUUGCCCUGCUAGGUUGCUCAAGUCUCCCACCACUUUUAAAGUUUGUGAGUGUCUUCAGUAGGAGUCACUGACUAGUUCUGGGGAAGAAUCCCCUCCUGGGCCCCAUUUCUUGUUUCAUAUGCUGAGCUUGGUCCCAAGGGGGUACAGGUGAGUGGAUCCAGCUCUGGCCUGUGGGACUCUAGGGACUACUGCCCUAGGUCAGCAUUUCUCAGCUUUUUAAAAAUCACCUUUUCCCCCUUAGAGACAAGUUAAAUUUAAUUUAAAUUAUCUUUAAUGAGACGACAUGUGAAUUUAUUGAGUAAUGUUGACCUUUGGAGGGCCACAAAUCAUUAUGUCUAAGAUUUUUUUUUCUUUUGCCCUCUAAUUUUCACCCUCUGGGGAGCACUCUUGCACCCAUUGAGAAUGCAUGUUCUGGGCUUUCCAGAAGACUAUAUGUUUUGAAACUGUCUGUAAUUUCUCCAGACUCUCACUUAAGCUAUAGAAAGGAGGGUCUCAGUGAAUGAAGAAUGUGCCUCCCAGGACUUUAGAUGGUACUAAAUCUGCUACUAGAGCAAAUUUGCCUCAGUGUUUCUGGGCCUCUAAGUUUCCAUGUAUAGAAUGCAAACACCUGCUGCUGCCCCUUCAACCAACAGGGAGGCCACACCUAGUGUCAGGUGGCCAUGACACUGAGCUAGGGUUGGGCAGACAUGACAGCACUGGUCACACUGUGUGCCUCAGACAGAGGUGGAGACAAUACAUCUAUACUGUCCUGUUCCUACCCUAACUCCUGCCCGGCAACCCAGCCAGUGGAGGGGUGUUCCUGAGGGAGAGGACCCCCGCCCCCAUCACCUUAGCCGCUCUACUGGGUCAUCACCGGGGGCCAUCGAAGGGCUGAUGAGCCAUGGCGGUGGGCUCUGCAGGAUGAUGGAGGCCCUGUGCAGUUGCUCUGGGCAUCUUCUCUUGCUUGGCCGCACUUCUUGACACUCCCCCAGUUGUACACUGAUCUCCCCCUGGGAGAGGCCCUCUUUCCCCUUUUCUGAGGCAGGAAUGAAUCCACAGCAGUGGCAGAGGCUGGGAGCAACCAGAAACUGCCCUGUGCCGCCUUCCUCCUAAAUGAGGCACCCCAGAGUCCUGUGCCUGCACUUUAUGAAGAGUUUUCUCAGUUUCAGGGACAGGGAGUUGGGGCCACUGAGCAGGGUCAGGGAGCCUGGGCAGGAGGCCCGAGGGCUGCAGAAGCCCCUGUCUGCCUCCACUGGAACUGUCUGAGGGAGGCACCAUGUUCAAGAGCAGGCCAGAGCCCCCAGCUCCCGCCCCCACCUCGAUGGAGAGUUUAAUAGGAAGCACAAAUGAGAAACAGCCUUCUGGAAUUUGGCUUUGGUUCCUUUCUCUCAGUUUCCUCAAAUGUUUCUUUCUUCUCUGUUUCCCCUGUCCUUCUCCUCUCUCUUUGUCCUCUGCCCUUUUCUUCCUCCUUGUAUGAUUUUCUGGCUGAGUGUGUGGCCCUGUCUGCCUGCCUGCCUGUCUGCCUGCCUGUCUGCCUCUUCUAAGGCAGGUACCCCUGACUGGGGUAAGGCAGGGCUCAAAGUGGGGAGAGGUGGGGAUCUGAUGAGGGAGGGUGAGGAAGGGGAGGAGGAGCCAGGAGGGGCCUGGGGUUCCGGGAGACAGACAUUAACCCUUUCUUGGCCUAAGGACAUCAUUCAGCCUUCCCCUCCCCUUUCCCACCAAGGUCAUAAAAUCGGUUUCUUACUUUCACCAAUUCCCCUGUCAGUGCCAGAAACACACAAUUAGCUUUAAAAGUGUCUCCAAGCUGUGGCCAGUUAGAAAUUUAUGACUUUUUUUUUUAAAGCUUUCCUUUAAAGUGGCUAAUUAGGUGUAUUUCUCCAAUGGUAAUUUUAAAAAUGCUAAUUGGUCUGCACUCUGGAAGGAGGAGAAAAAAACUUUCCCCCUUAUUAUCUUGGCACUAGGGAGACAUAGAAGAGAUUGACACGGCCUGAGCCUCCAAGGAGAGAGGCUAGGCGCCUGCUCUUUUGCAGACUUGGCAGUGCGGAGGGUCCAGGAAUGGUUUUCUGUGUUCCAGACAGUGGCCUUGCCAAGGGGACGUGGCACAGUGGGGCUAGAGAGGGCAGCUGGGGUAGGGCGGGGCAGUGAGUGGCUCACCCACCCAGGUGCCAUGAUGCUGACACCCAGCAGAGGGGUGGCCUUCCUGGGAGGAUGGGUGAGCUGGACGAUGCAUGGAGGGCACACCAUGGUCAGGACUCGGCUCUAGCACAAGAUUUGACAGCUGCCAAACCACACGCUAGCAGAACCUCCUUUUUUUCCUAUUUAUUUAUGUAUAAAAUUGUUAUUGAUUAUAUAAUGUGAUGUUUUGGUACAUGUAUGUAAUGUGUAACCAUCAGAUCUGGGUAACUGGGAUAUGCAUCACCCCAAACAUUUAUGUGAGAAUUCACCAUUUGAGGGAGGCUGUUUCUGCCAGGGACAAUUACAAAUGGAAUGGAAAGGGGACAGUAUCCUGGGUGUAUAGUGUCCUCACAUGGGGGAGGGGCAGGUCACAGGGAGCCCUGGGCAGGAAUGAGGCUGGGAAAGGAAUGCUGGCCUGGGGGGUUCUACUGACCUCCUGACUUGCCAGGAAGGGUGGGGGUUCCACCAAGAUUUUGGUCCCUACAGAAGGAUGAAGAUGACAUCAGCCUGGUUGGACGUCCACAAGGAGCAGUGCCCCCUCUACUCUCUUGUGGGCCUGGGCCAGGGCUCUCCAGCUGAGCUCCCUCCUCAGCCCCUUCAGUCAUAGAGUAUAUUGGGACUUGGUAUGGAUUUCCUAGAUCUGCCUCUUUUCCAAAAGUUGCUCAGAGAUGGAGCAAAACCCAGGCCAGGGAGCGGGGCGCAGCCCAGCAGCACCAGCAUGUGAAUCCACAACCCCUGCGUUUCCAAGACAUGGGCCUGAUGUUGGGUGAGGGGCUCCCUGCUCCUCUUCCUGGGGCUGGGGAGUCACUGAGACCCUGGCGAGGAGGAGGCGUGGGCUCAUGCCUUUCAACGUCUCAGCCUUCUCUGUGGGAAAGCUAAAGUGGGGCUAGAAUCAAGGGCCUCAGGUGACCCCUGCUCGUGUUUAGAGGCAAAGGGCAUGUUCUGGGAGCUGAUCCAGAGGGGAGGGCAGCCCUGGGAGGCAUUGACCUCCAUGCAGCCCCGCCUGGUUCAAGGGGGCCUGAUGGGGAGUGGUGCGUUCUCCUAGAAUGCUGUUGCUUUCUCCUUGUGGCCCCGAUGGUGGUGGCUGUAGUGUGGCCAUCCCCAUGUGUUGCUAUGUGAGUAACGCAAUUACGAAGACACAAAACAGGGAUGAAGAAAAACAUUCUGCAGGAGAGAGAAAGGGAGGGAGGACCAGUCACAAUCAGCUCUGUUGUUAUCGGAUCAUUUCAGGGAGGAGUAGAAUUCCAGACAGGGAGCCCAGUCCCAUUUAAAACCCUGUGCUGUUGUGGAAGGGAGGAGUGAUGAUCAAUUAAACAGAUUCCUCAGCUUGUUUGCUGAAAUGAGCUUUUAUUAAGGAUGUCACUUCCCCUCUUUGGCUUCAUGACCAUCUCUAGAAAAACUGGAUGGACAUACAUGUGACUGAUAUUCUGGCCCCAAAUCUCUGCAGCUCUCUGCAACUUCCCUGAAGUGCUCUCAGACUCAGUUUAUCCAUCAGCAAAAUGGGAAGAGGGAAACCCCUUCAUUCUCUCUGCUGCAGUGUGACAGAUUCUUUGGAGCCCUGAGGGAGGACAGAACAGGGCCUAGAUCCUAGCUUUCCACUUCCCAGCUGAGUGGACCUGGGAGCGUCCCUUCACUACGUAAGCUUUGGCAGGUUGGGAAAAGUUAAAUGAAAUAAUAACAUGAAUUGUGCAAAAUAGAAAUAUGGACUAAAUCUGAUUGAUGUAAAAGUGAAAGAUGAGCAAUGCAAAGUACCCAGCACAGUGCUGGGAAUGCAGAGCCUCCGCAGGGCAGAUCUGAUUUCUUUGCUACCCCUCCUGGCUAAUUCCAUGGUGUUCGCACAGGAGGAGGCUGGAGAGGAUGAACACAGUUCAGGAGUCGUGUAACGAAUUCCAUGCCACCCCAAGGGGCUAGCGGGGCAGGGAUGAUGAAUGUUCUUAAUCAGAACCUGCCACACCAUCCAUUCUGCUCUCCCUUGACUCUCUGCCUCUGAUGAGGUGGAGAAGCCUGACUCCCUCAGCUGUGGGAGGCUUUGCUUGGCAGAUCUCGCCUUCAGAGGUUUCCCGAGGUGCUAGGCCAGCACGUUUGUCCAUCUUCUGGGGUUAUCCAGAGUUACUUAAUCUUUAUGAUCCUCUUCCCAGUGGGGUAAUAAUACCCCCUUUAUAGGGAUAUUAUGAGGAUUAAGAGAGAUUAUGUAUGGCCAGGAGCUCCUGGAACAGGGCCUGGGCCUUGGAAAGUGCUCAGCAAAUGUUACUUCCCUUCCCUCUGCAAACCUAAUAGACAAUAAACUGGCAACUGGACAUCUGACUAAGCACAUCGUGAAUUAGCUUGAGUCAUAAAGGAGACAGAAGGGGACCGAGAGCCAGGCCAUUAGAUAUGGCCAACACGAAUCUGUCUCUGGAUGAAUUACUGCUGGACAAUUAGGAUGGCCCCUAUUAGCAUGGCUGCUUGGAAGGGUGGCACAUUCAUGGAUUUUGGAGGUCGGCAGCCAUACUUUUGAUCUCAGCUUUAAUGAUGCACCAGCUGUGUGACUUUGGGUAAGUUGCAUAUCCUUCUGUGCUUCUCUGUGUGUGCACAUACAUGGGAAGAAUUAAAUGCCGUUGUGGCUGUAGAAAAUCUGGAAGGACACAGUAGAUCCCAAAUAGAUGUUCAUCUUCUCCCCUCUUGCUCUCUGAGGUGAGAGAUCAGUUCCGUCUGAGUAAGGCACCCAUUGUUCUGCAGGAAGUCAGAUUCUUUGCAUCCCAUCCAUGCAGAGCCAUACAGGGUGGAGGAGGGUGCUGGGCUCACAUGUUCACCCUUGUUUUCCAGCUCCUAGGGUGGGGCUUGCAUAAGGCAUAGACUCAGACCAUUCGGUAACCAACUGAGCAAAUCAUUCCCAGAGUAUAACCGUUUUUCUGUGACUACAGGUGUCUAUUUGACAACGACUUCCCUGUGAAAGGCUCAGGGCACUUUGAAGACAUUACCUCAUUGUUGGGAGAAUUUUAGAAGCAUCAUUUGAUCUAUUUCACAGCCAAGGAGGGUGAAGAAUACAGAAAGACAUUGGCUUGCCCAGGGUUGCAGCGAAGCAGUGAUGUAUUUGACAUCUCAGUUCUAAGCUGGGGUUCCCACUGCGAUACUCUUGGUAACUAAAUUGGUGUCUCAAAAAAGAGGUUCUGGGAUGCUCUUGGGGAUCUCUAGGGUUCAUUUGGGAUACUAGGACCAGACUGUGACCCUGGAAAACAUUAUUAAUUGGGAUAAUAAUAAUAAUUACCAUUUUGAGCACUAAGUUGUAAGUUUUGUGUUUGAUAUUUUGUAUCUUUCAUCUUAUUUCUUCUUCACAACAGUCAUUAUAUAGAAGGUAGUUAUUUUUGUUUUGUAACUGAAGCUGUGGUAAAAAAAACUUUAGCAAUAAAGUAAAGAAGCAGCUAAGAUUUAAAUUCAGGGAUGUCAGCCAUAAAUAAAGCCCACUCGGUUGCCCUGACACCAUAGUAGAGAAGACAGAGAGGGUGAGCAGAACGGGGGAAUUUUCUAGGGGCAGAGUGAUGAUAAGAAGAUGGAGUGAGAUCCAUCCUUGGUAUUGUUGGGGAAGAGAUGAAGAGAGUUUGUUGUCAAUGUCAUAUGUUAAAACUCCUCUUACAUUCUAGGGCAAUUUGGGACCCACCUUUUAAAAGUGAGUGUUCUCUUAUUUAGCCUUUAAAAAGAAGGACAUUCUGACACAUGCUACAAUGUAGAUGAACCUCGAAAACAUGAGGUUUAAGUGAAAUAAGCCAGACACAAAAGGACAAAUGCUGUAUGAUUCCACCUACAUAAAGUACCUGGAGUAGUCAAAUUCAUAAAGACAGAAAGUAAAAUGGUAGUUGCCAAGAGCUGGGGGACAGGGGAAUAGGAUCAUAGCGUUUAGCAGGGACAGAGUUUCAGUUUGGGAAGAUGAAAAAGUUCUGAAGAUGGAUGGCAGUUGUAUUAGUCCAUUUUCACACUGCUGAUAAAGACAUACCUGAGACUGGGCAAUUUACAAAAGAGGUUUAUUGGACUUACAGUUCCACAUGGCUGGGGAGACCUCAAAAUCAUGGUGGAAGGAAGGUGAAAGGCACAUCUCACAUGGUGGCAGACAAGAGAAGAGAAGAGAGUGCAUGCAGGGAAACUCCUGUUUUUAAAACCAUCAGAUCUCGUGAGACUCAUUCACUGUCACGAGAACAGCAGAGGAAAGACUUGCCCCCAUGAUGCAAUUACCUCGCACUGGGUCCCUCCCACAAAACAUGGGAAUUCAAGAUGAGAUUUGAGUGGGGACACAGCCAAACCAUAUCAGUGGUGAUGGUUGCACAACAAUGGGAAUGUUCUUAACACCACUUAACUCUACACUUAAAAAAAUUGUUAAAAUGUAAAUUUGAAAAGAACUGAGUGUUCUUCUUCCUAUUCAGGUGCUUAAAGGCAAAGAACUUUUUAUUGUGCAGAGGCACCUGUGGGGCAGGUGGGAGCCCUGUGGCUUUAGUUAGCUGAGGAGGCUGUGGAGGCUGGAGCCUGAGGCUAGGUACCAAGGAGCACCAGAGGAUGAGCCCAGCCAUAGAUUCUAUGCAUGAGCCAAGAAAAGUAUUAGAAAGGGCAGAGGCUCUCUUGCUGUCCCCUGGACCAGCAGCUCAGGAAUCUACUGGAUCACAGUCCCAUGGGUAGACAAGCAAAGAGACAUUUCAAGGCAGAGUGAGAAAUGUGUGAUACAAGAAGUGCAUCCUCUUGGAGGACACAGUUCAGGGGAACAGAGACCAUCAAUUAAAUACAUUAGAAUUCAUGCUCUAAUACAGAGGCACAGGAACAAUGUGGACUUGACCUUGACUUGUGGGCAGGUGUGGAAGAGGUUGGUGGGGAUCCCCUCACUCCCACCUAUUUGUAGAUGCCAGAAGCCUUGAAGAGAAGGACUGGCAACAUGCUGCAAGCAUUGGUUGAUGUGGUGUGGUCUAGAGGGUGACAAACUGGCUCCCAGGCCAAAUCCAGAUCACCUCUGAUUUUGUACAGCCCAUAAGCUAAGGAUUUUUUUCCCGUAUUUAAUGAUUUAAAAAAAAAAAGAAGGCUAUGUCAUAGCCCAUGAAAGUGACAUGAAGUUUGAAUUUUACUGUACAUAAGUAAAGUUGUGUUGGAACACAGCCACAUUCAUUUGUUUAUGUAUUGUCUGUGGCAGCUGUCAUGCUUCAACGGAAAUGUUGAGUGGUUGUGACAGAGACCAUAUGGCCUGCAAAGCUGAGAAUAUUCCUUAUCUGGCCUUUACAGAAAAGUUUGCUGACCCUUGGUCUAGUCCAGUAUUUUUUCAAACUGUGGGUCACAGCAGGCAGUCAUGAAUCAACUUAAUGGAACAUGACCAGAAUUCAAAAAAGAAAAAUAGAAGAAUGGACAGAAACUAUCAGAGUGUAUCACUUGUUGUAAGGCUGUGUUUCUCCUUAAAUAUUUUCUUAUUUCCUUUAACUUUUAUUUCAAUUAAGUAUGUAUGUGUAUUCUCAGUCAUGAGCUGAAUUAUUUAUCUUACUUAUGGGUCUUGAUCAAAAAAGUUGGAAAGCUCCUUGUCUAGGUGAACCCAGGAAAUUUCUAGUUGUUCACCCAGUUAUCUGGGAUGAAAUUUGGAUGCAGGCUGCUCAGCUACCUGUGGUCAAGGGAGCAGUUCUCUGCUCCUGCAGCCCAGAUCCAAGCUAAACUGGUGGGUACAAGAUUCUCUGCUGCAUUUUUCUCCCCGGAAGAACUGUGGUUUCCUCUGCCCAGGACACGAUGCCUGGCCCCAGGUAGAACCCUUUCCUUGUUCUCGCCCAAUUUUCUCCCACUUAAAGAGGAAGGUUUCCAUUUUCCCUCUGGGAAUGAAUGAGGAAUGUUCACUUCCAGGCAGAAAGACAAAAAGAAGCAAGUCCCAGGACCAAGGACGCAGAGCUCCCUUCCCAACCCUUUGACUGACAGCUAAUACUCAGUGACAAGGAGACGGUGCCUGUAUGUGGUGACAAGAAGUGAGAUCCCAGAAGGCUCUGUGUUUACAAACAUAUUGCCAAAAGUGUCACGGAUACAAUUGAAAAACAUCAAUAGUGAUCGAUGGGAACAAAUCACUGGCCCCAGCCAUUAAAAAAGAAAGUGAAUCCAGGCCUGGAGGAAGUGAAGGGGAAGAAUCUGUAGAGGAUGGGAGCAUGGUUACACCCUCUGCAUCUCACUUCUUCCCCUCCUGCUUACUCUUUGUUCUUCUUCCCACACCCCCUGCUCCACCCUUCUGCUCGUCACUGCCAGUUGCCCCCUUUGCAAUGGAAGGAAAACCACUGAUUUCUACAAAGCCUCUGCCUUGGUCUUAGAGAUGGAAUCUGAGCAGAGCUCCCUGCUUUCCUCUUCCUUUCUCCAGGCAGUGCCCAGGAUGCCUGUUGAAUUUCAAGCAGUGAGUUUGUGAACCAGUUCUUAGCCAAGCUUCAUGUUCUCAAAGACAUUAACAAUAGGCAUCCCUCCACACAGAGCAUUAGGAUGUGAUAUGCUUUGUCUGAGCAGGGGAUUCUAGGACUUGAGAGCUAAGCUGGGUUGGAUCCAUCUUGAUCUGGAAAGUUUUGGGAGGCCAAGGAACUAUGUUCAGCAGAAAGUUUCAAUCCUGAUAUUAUGGUGGAAAACAGGAGCAAUCACAACUCUAAAAAUUUGAGGUGAAUUUGCCACUGGAGUCUGAGGGACUGGAGUAGAAAUCAUGGAGAAACUUGGGGGAGGGAUGAAUGAACUUUGAUGGAUGGAGAGGAGAACCUUUCCUGAGUUCAGGUCACUUUAGAGCCUGGAAAAGGGGUGUAAUCAUUCUUUUAAAAAAUAAGAUAAAACAUACAGCAGCAACAAGAAGGGCAGUGCUUGUGCCAGAGCUGCAGAAGAGUCUAGAAGGACUCAGCAAAGAGCUGGGGUUGGUUGGCUAGGUGCUUGUCUGUGGAUGGUCAUUAAGACUCAGUGCCCAGAAUGCUAGUUCUAAAUAAACUCAAAAAGUCUUCCACAGGAGGAAUAAUGAAUUAGAAGUGUUUUGUCCAAAUAAACCAAAGUGACCUAAGAAGAGAGUCUUUAGAGCACCAGGUGGUUGCAAAGAAAGCAAUUUCCCCACAAAACUAAGGAGGUAGAUAGGGGGCCCAGAGAGAAAGAGAACAGAGACCCAAGGACCAAAGAGUAAACCAGCUUUCCUGGGAUGAAAUAACAGCAGCCCAGGCAGAAACCAGAGUAACAGAUUGGGCAUUUGUUGAUCUCCUGCUCCUUCUCUCUCCCUCUGUCUCUCCCUCUCCCCUCCUCCCCCACCUCUCCCCCUUUUUCUCUCUCUCUCCUUUUCAGUCUUUUUCUCUCUCUCCUUCUCUCUCUCCCUCACACACAUAUAUACAUUCAUUCAUUAAUCUAUUGUAUUGCUUAUUUAUUUUGUGCAAGGCAUUUUUCUGUACACUGGGAAUUCAGAUUUAAAAGAUACAGAAAUAAAAUCUCUGCCCUCAAGGAAUUUGUGAACUAAAGCAUUACCUCAUUCCUUAUCUACUGGACAAAGUCUAUAUCCUGAGAUUUUUCACUGAGUCUCAAAACAAUUGCGUCAUUUAAGUCACUGAAUAUGUAGUUUGAGGGAACAACCAUGAAGCAAGGGUCUAGGAAGAAGCAGAGGAGGCAGCCCCAAUCCUAAGCGCAGGCCCCAUGACACAGGGAUCACACUUGGCCAUGGUGACAAUUAUGUGGCAGGUCGGAGAUGCCCAAGAAUGUCCAGACAAGGAGCCUUUUCUGCCAUUUCAUCUCUGGCUGUCAGAGGCUCCCCCACAGCCCUGGUCCGUGGUAAAUGAGCUGUCAAGAGGAUGGAUUGGCCUCACGCAAAGAGGUAGGUAAUGAUCUUUGAGGCCAGGGGGAAGCGGGAGUCCCUGUAGAGUGGGCAUACACUUAGCUUAAGAGAGUGUGAAUUUCUAGUGCAGACAAGAAGGCAUUCAGCAACAUUCUGUUGCAGGACUUAUAUAGUCAUGGGAGGAUAUAGUCACUUUUUUUUUUUUUUAACUAGAAUCUGAAAUGCAGUUGAAUUUUUCCACAUGCUGAGAUGUUUUCCAUUUUAGUACCUUGUAGAGAAGCAACUGUGAGUUUGUGAUGAACAGUAUGGGGGUGGGAGAAUGGGGCACUAGUCCAUAAAGUGGUUGAAGAACUGUUAGGUGUCAUCCAUCCACUCUUCCAUCCAGCCAAACAUCCAUUGGUUUACUCAAGAAGUAUUUACUGAGACUGAAUAGGAAGAGAGUCCUACUGGGCUGCUUCCCAAACUCCAGGUUUGCCAUUUAUCUUUUCAAUUGCUGCUAUUUUACAAAUGUUCAAUGUCUCAUUCUUGGACAGCCCUGUGCCAUUAUAAGAAAGGAAGAUGCAGCAAUACAGCUAGUGAUUUACCUGUCAGGAGUCAUAAUAGUGUGAAGACGUGUUGGAAAUCACCUCUAAGUACUCUGAUAUUUUCUGUGCACAUCUCAGAAGGGAUCAAGGAUGAGGAUGAUGGGAAAAACCCAGAAUGACAGGCUGGGUGGGAUGGGAAGAGCCUUCGACAUAACUGGCUAUGUGACCUGGGCCAUUGGCCUCCCCAGUUGUCACUGGCCUUAUUGUAAUGUAUGAAAAGAGGUUGAAUAUGCUAAUCUCCAAGGCCCCUUCCUUCUGUGGCAUUUCUUGAAGUCUCACUUGUUAAUAACAGCAACCAAUUGAUCCAUGUCAUGCUGCCCUAGGUUCUCCUCUUUGCUCUUCACCCUUUUCUUGUCCUUUCUAGAUGGGAAGAACUCACAAGUUAAUGCCAUCCUUCCUCCAGCUGGUUAUCCUGAAAAGUGUUUCUAUUUGCCAACAUCUAGCCUUAUCCUCUAACCAGUGUUACCUAGUGAAUUUUCAGUAAAAAUGGCAAUAUUCAUAUCUGCACUAGUCAUUCUGGUGGCCACCAGCCACAUGGAACUACUGAGCACUUGAAAUGUGGCUAGUAUGACUAUGGAACUAGAUUUUAAAUUUUACCUAAUUUAAAUUUAAUUUAAUUUUAAAGAACCACGAGUAACUGGUUAUCAGACAGCAUAGCUAUAAUCUAUUCUUUCCCCAAUGCUCUCUAGUCUAUAUCAAACUUAUCUGUUCAUUUCUUCCUAAAUCAUUGGUUAAAUUUGGCAUCUGUAGUGAAACUUCUUUGGCUGGAAUUCUCCUUGACCACUUACUAGCUGCAGAACCUUGGGCGGUUUACUUAACCUAUCCAGACCUCAGUUUCUUCACCUGUAAAAUGCAGGUACUGAUAGUCCUACCUUGUGGGGUUGCUUUAUUGAUGAAAAUAAUUAAUAAAGAACACUUGGCACAGUCCCUGGAACUUUGUGUUGAUAAAGGUUAGCUGAGAGUGAGGAGAAGAAAGAGGGAGAAAGGGAAGUGUAUUUCUACCAUCUAUCUCCUAUUAGAGUUAUGUUUUGCAGGCUGACUGUCUAACCUGUAGUAUUACUAGUUAGCAUAUGGAGACAAUACUGUCUCCCAGGGCCCACAUGUGUAUCUUUUUUAUUUGAGUCUUAUCUGUUUGCCCAGCUCUCCUGAUACCUCUGUUCCCUGCACCAGAGCAGAUACAAAUCUCCUAACAGCAGCUACACUGACACAAGCUGAGAGGCCAUAUCCCUGGUCUCGCACACACAUACAUGUGAACAUACCCGUGCACACACACACGUCUUAUAAAGCAGACAGACCUGCAAUCUCAUUUCUUCAGACUUCUGUGUCUUCUGGCUGUGGCUCCUCCUCCUUUGGGCGAUGGGGAGCAGGGCGAUGACCCCAUUAAUUCCAGGCAGGCCCUUGUUGCUCUGCAGGCCGCCAACUCCCUUUGGACCUCCCCUCUGGCCAACUUGAUCUCCCAAGUGACAUCUCUCAAUCCUGCCCCAGGAAUCAGAUGUCUAAAUAGCAAAUGAAAGAUUAAUGCCAGUGGCCAAGAUUAGGGUGUGAAUAAUUUAAAGGGCAGAAUAAGAGACAGCUCUGCUUACCAGCAGGGCUGCCUGGUAGAGGUCAGGGAAAGGGUAGGGGCCUGUGUAGGGCCAAGGAUAGGAGGUUGUGGAUUCCAAUGGAUUGAUUUGGGAGAGGAUUUGUUGUCCUUGGCGUUGGAAAGAAUUUGUAGUUACAACUAGGAAAUGGAUCCUUUGGCGUUCUUAUCAAUAUAGGGAUUGUGGGUUCCAUGAGGUGUGUGGGAGGUUUUCGUGUGGGUGCCAUGUUUCCAUGGAACUCAUAGCACAUCCUAUGCCUCUCAUGAUAAGUACGCCUCUUGCCAGUGUCUCUGUUCUUGUUGCCACCUUGAACCUGUUGGGCUAUAGGAAUCCACAUGACUGGGGACUAGGGGCUGAUUAAUUAGCCACCCCCAUAAUCAGUGGAGUACUUUCUGUGGUUAUGGGAUGUGAGGUGAGGAGUAGCCUGAUAUUUGUGAAAUAAGCAGAUAUUUUACAGAGAGUAUGGCUCUUGUCCAAGCAUCAAACCUCUGUGUGGAUAUUUUUUUCUCCCCUCCCUAACAUCUCGGUCACCUCUCUGCCACCCCAGUCUCCUGUUAGGUUUACCGCAGUCUCUCCUCUGAUGGUUUGGGGUUUGAUAAAUAUUUUCCCCUCUGGAAGUCUUUAGCAGUGCAGCAAAAAGGUUACAUGAUGGAUUCUCCCCAUCACUUAAUUGAAGCCAUAAAAAAUGAAAAGAGAGUUUCCAAUAAACCAAACCAUUACUCACUGGUGGAUGAGAGGGGAUCCCAGAACCAGGACCUGGAAGGCACAGCUGGCAAGCCCUCCAGCUGACUGUCUAUUAUGAUUAUUAAUCACAACAGCAACAGGGUUCAUCUGUACCGAGCUUCUUAAUGAACUUGGACUCAUGUCCUUACAAGGUUGUAGCCAUUACAGCAACCAGGGCUUUUCCAUUUAAAAUCCCUGAAGGCUGAUUUGGAUGGAUGUCCAAGUGGAUGCAUAUGUCCCAGUGCUCCCCCAAAUUAUGAGAUAUGUGUAGUCGUGUCUAGGCCUGAAUAGUGGAAGAGAGAUAGCUCUAUCUGCCAUGAUUGGGAGACUUGUGUAGUGACUAGCAGUGUAAGAGUAUGACUGGUGGCGGAGUGCAUACCUUUUUUUGUGAGCACAGCUUGAUGGCUACAUGUUGUGAAUGGGGUGUUGAGAGUUUUGUUUACUGGAUGGUUGAUAUGGGGUUGGGAGUGAGGAGUGUAUAGUGGUCAUGGGUGUAUAUACUCUAAAAUAGCAUCAUCUCUAUGUAGAUUCCAUAAUAUAUGGGUUUCCAGGUACAUCACAAGUAGGAAGACCCUAGAAUUUAUUUUCCAAACUGGAAGAGUUUUAAAAGUAAAAGAGGGCAUUGCUAAUAUUUUGCCUGGGCCACACACAUAAACCAGCAGUUUCAGGCAACCAGAACCGUGGAGUAACUCCAUUUGUAAGGCACCAUUGAAUUGCUUAGGUGUGUUUUCCAUUGUGUUUUGCUCUGAGUUGGGUUUAGUUUGAGGCCAUGUCUGUUGGGGUUGGUGCUUUAGGGGAGUGGCAGAGGGUACCUCUUUGGUGGCAGAAUAAUCGUGACAUCUGUCACAUGGUGGAAAAAGCAGCCACAUGGUGGAAUAAACAGCCCCCUGGCUCCAGGGUCAGAGAUGUCCUGGUUGUGUGCCCCUGUCUUGAUGCUGGGGGACUUUGGUGUUCACUCCAGGAGUUACUGGAGACAGGAAGCCCAGCCAGUGAAGCAAACCCCUGGGCUGCUCCAGGGAAGGAAGGAAAGACCCCAUCGAGGAAAUCUUCAGAGUUGCUUCCAGGCUUUGCUGUGUGCCUGUGCAGCGAGUCCGGAGGCAGACUCUGUUCCAGUACGAUUGGGUCUGUCCUGGACUUGCCCAGGCCUCAGUUUACCUCUGUGUAACACUCAGGGAAGAAUAGUAUCUAGUAAUGAGAGUGUUAAUGCUUGAGACAGUGUUGGGAAUGAACUGUAUAAGAACAGCAUGCCUUCUUUUCCAUUUUCCUCCUUCCUUCUCUCUCCACCCCCCCCCAUCUAUCAAGUGACUUUGUUUCUAAAGACCUCAGAUCUUUGUUUCCUAGUCACUAAUCCCUCCACAUCAGCAAUAGUUUACCUCUGUCAUGGCACCCCAAGGUUUAGGAGGAAAGGAGAGGGGUCGUCCCUCCAAAGCUUGGCCAGCGUGUCCUGCAUGGAGGUCCCUCCCCGGUGCUCCAGGCCCUGGUUUUCUCUCCAGUUCACUCUGGGAUCCACAGCAAGCAGUGAGCUCUCUGGAAUAACACCUACAAGAAUUGUGUCUUGGCUGCUUUCUCCAGAGGUCCUCUUUCCCACCUCCUCCCUGAAAACGAAGAACUCCCCCAUGCUGCCAACAACUAGAUGUAAACAGAAAUUAAUCCAUCUGUGCCAAACCUCAACAUGUCACCUGAUCCUUAUCACUGCCUCAUAAUCGCCUCCAAGGAAGAUCUUAUUAUAUUAAAAAGCAAUUGCCCUCUAUGCUGGUAACACUAAUAGAUUUUUGUGUGAUAUUUAUACAGGAUUUCGUUGUCAGCUCACGAGAUGCUAUUCCCUUCCUUCUACCUCUUUCCUGCUCCCUUCGUCUUUGCCCAAGUCUCCUAUGAUUUCAGUUUCUUGCAGGUCGCUGUCUGCAAGGUGAUCGGCUCCAUGAGGGCAAUGCACCUGACUUCUUGACUGUUGUAUCGUCAGCAUGGGAAGCAUGCUUGGUGCAUAGUAGGCAUACCAUUUCAUCUAGCAACUUCAUUCAUUCAUUCAACAGAUGGAGCUGAGGUCUGGAGGGGGAGAUAUGCCAAACACCAAACAAAUAAAUAAAAUAAUAAACAGUUAUCAGGGCUUUGAAAUAAAUAAGUAGGGUUUUGAAAUAGAGGAUAAUCAAGUUUUGGGGGUCUACUCAGAAUGGAAGGCUGGAAUGUUUGCUCUGAGACCUAAAGAAUGUGAGGAGCCGAGGUGAGGGGAAGAGUGUUCUAAGUCGAGGACACAGUCCUACCUGGGGGUUGUGAAGUGGAGAACAAACUCGGCACCUUUGAGGGCCUGAGAAAGGCUCCCUGUGGGCAGACCUUCAUGAAGGGAGGCAGAGGGCAUUGGUCAAGUUUGGAGGGGCAGGCAGGAGCUAAGCCAUUUCAGAAAUGUCUGGGGUGGUCAGAGCAUUCAGGGAUGUGACCAUGUGAUUGGACAUAGAAUUUGGGAUCCUUCACAUUCCAAGCAUAAAUAUCGAUGUGAAUGAGAGACCAAGCUCCUGGGAAGUCUGUGGUGUGGAAAUGCAAGGUGAAGUUGGUGAAGAGUGGAAUUUGAACUGGGGAUGCCAGAAUUUCUGGGCCUUUUCUUCUCCCUCACACGGACUGACACUCAUUCCUUCAUGUCCUUUGUUCCUCAAUGUUUACUGAGAUGAUGUCAACAUAUACAGGGAAUUUGGACUCAGAAGGCUCGUGCUCAGAUGGUGGCAGAAGUUGAAAUCAGGGCCUAGCUGAAGCCUUGUGAUAAGUUGAAAAGACCCAGGUUUCAAAAACAGCCACAGUCGUAACAAUGGCAAUGACAGCCCAUUCUUGCCUUCUGGGCUCUUUGGUGUCAAUAAAUUCAAAGCAGUUUCAAUUGAAAAUAGAUUUGAUGGUGAGAGCCAAGCCCGUAACAUACCCUUCAUCAGCUAUGGUCUUGUCAAUUAUGCAUCAGAAGUAGCUGCUGAUGAGGGAUUCCAGGGUGAAGCCCGAACAGGUGGCGAGGUGCCAGAGCCCAAUCUGAUUGGUGGAAGAUACCCAUUCAGAGUCUGGGGAAACGUAACCUGCACAGAGAAUCACCCAGCUCCAAGAGAACUUGGGCUUUCAUCUGCAGUGAGGGAAGAGAUGGGAGAGUUGUUUGGACACAUGGAGCAACUCAUUAAUUAGAAGUUAAAUGUCCCCCUUUCUCUGCCAGCUCUGAAUACAUUAAAGUGAAAACAUGAGAUCAAGCACAUUCUUUUCGUUCUCUAUUUCUAAACAUUCCUUGCAUUAAAACCCUCAUGUUUCUUUAUUCCAUGACAGCCGGAUCAUGUCAUGGGCAAACAUAAUCGGGAUGAUGGCCAAAGCACCAGAACUUUUUCUAAAAGAUGCUACUGAGAACUGGGGCUUGCUGCACAGGCUGGUAUCUCCUGGGGCUCACAUCUGAGGUUUGGGCUUCCAGUGGAGUUUCCACCUAGAAUGGAUGCUAGCCUGCUGUGGGGAAUGGACAGAUGGGUGGGUGCACCGUCAGAAGGGGAACUAGCUGGAGUCGAGGCAGGUUUGUGGCACCUUCCACACCUCCUGAUGGAGAUGAGUAAAAGCAUAAAUGAUAGCAGUCUUCCCCACCAGCGCCUUGGGGAGGGGAGUGAUUGCAUUUCUGUUUUUGGCCAAAGUGCUUGGAGACAGGCAGCCUAGACAGACGAAACCUUUAUUAUCAAAAGGCAGCACUUGGUAACCCUCCUUCCUCUAUGACACCAGCCUCUCUGGUUGUCAGCUCAUAAAUGUGUCUCCCAGUUACAGAGCACAUGACGUAAUCCUGUCAGAUCUCCUCACUGCCCAUUGGGACGGAGUUGGCAGUUCUAACGGUUAUCCCUGUGGAGGGGGGAAGGCUAGGCUUGGGUCUGUCUCAGCUGUGCGAGUGACAAGGCAGCUUCACAUCUCUGUGCUUCCUUCUCCCCAUGGACGAAGUCAGGAAAAGUGUCUCUCCUUCCUGUUCCUUCUGAAGCCAUCGUGGUUAUCCCAGGCAACUACAGUCAGCUUCUCUCAACCCAAGGGACUCAAUUCAAAAGAGGGAGCAGGGAGAGGUGAGAUUCAAAAUAUUUAAACUUCAAGGGCACAAAGACUUAAUGCUGGGUGAAGAGUCUGGGGGCCCCCUGCCGGGCCAGGCAUUAACCCUUUAGGUGACACAUCUUAGGGAGGUCACUGGGGGAUCUCCCGGAGGACGAGCCAGCCUGUUGAGACUACAGGGGAGGUAUCCGAAGGUGACAGCAAUUUACCAACCAGUGUGGAAACAUUUCAGUAUUUUAUCUUCCAUCCAUCCUGGUGCAUGCUGGAUGAAUAUCAGGUCUAGAAACAAGUCGUAUUUUCUCUGAACCGUGGGAAAGAUGGCCAAAGUCCAGGGGAGAGAUACAGUCCCAUGUAAUUAUCAAAUCAUGGAAUUCCACCGUGAAAGAGUGAAAAAUCCAAUUAACCCCCUCAUCCAGGGUGGGGAGCUGGUUCAAUGUGUGGAUUCUCAUUUCCCCUCCCCUGUGAACCACUCAACCACUCUGGGAUGAUCGAAGGAGGGACAGACUUUCAAGGGGUGACAGACAAUGUCCUUGAGGAAAUGGAACUGAAAACCAUGAGACCAUCAGAUGAUUUGUAAGAAGGUGCCCCAUGCUCAUAACAGACAAAAAGAAUCCCAUGGAGUUUGGUCAAGGGAAGACGUCUCGGGGCUGGAGCUGCCAUAGGGGGUUAUAGGACAUGGGAUCUGUCCUGCUGUGCCUGUGUGGGCCACCAAGCCAUCUACUGCAGUACCCUGGAAGGUCAGCUCCAGCUAGGGCCUGGAUGGAGGCACAGAGCUGAGCCCCCACCUCCCUAACCUGGAUUUCUGGCUUCACAGGGCAGCUGCCCGUGACCCCAUUAAUUUGGAUGUUUGGCUCCAGAUGUUCAAUCCCAAGGACAUCAAGUCAGCAUUUUUCUCUGCAGACUGUAAAAGAACAGCUGCAUCUUCUAGAAGACCAUCCAAGUCCAUGUCUUGUUAGGAUGAUUACAGUGUUUUACUUGUAGCAUAGUUUCGCUGCUUGGACCCCUUUUUGAGAUCCCAUUCUCAGUCUCAAACACAGGGGGAUGAUAUCUCAAGACACAGAAUAUGAGAGCAGAGUGGGUUUUAGAGAUCAUGUGAUCCAACGCAUUCCUCUUAGAGAAGAUGACAUGGGGUGGGGGGCGGGAGGGAGGCAGGCAGAGAGGGCACUUCUCUGCAGUCAUCUGCAGAGGUAAUGGGAGAGAUGUGACUGGACCUCCUUUUAUAAAUAAUGUGUUUUUAGCCAGGUGCAGUGGCUCAUGCCUGUAAUCCCAGCACUUUCGGGAGUUUGAGGCUGGUGGAUCACUUGAGGUCAGGAGUUUGAGACCAGCCUGGCCAGCAUGGCAAAACCCCAUCUCCACUAAAAAUAGAAAAAAAUUAGCCAGAUGUGGUGGCACGUGCCUGUAGUCCCAGAUACUCAUGAGGCUGAGGCAGAAGAAUCACUUGAACCCGGGUGGUAGAGUUUGCAGUGAGCCAAGAUUGCACCACUGCACUCCAGCCUGGGUGACAGAGUGAGACU